CACGUAGGCGGCAUAGCAAGUUAAGGGUGAAAUCCCGGGGCUCAACUCCGGAACUGCUCUUAAAACUGCUAAGCUAGAGAUAGUCAGAGGCGGGUGGAAUUCCUGGUGUAGAGGUGAAAUUCGUAGAUAUCAGGAGGAACACCGGUGGCGAAGGCGGCCCGCUGGGGCUUAUCUGACGCUAAGGUGCGAAAGCGUGGGGAGCGAACG
rnacentral:rRNA from 1 species